ensembl:lncRNA
CGACGCUGAAUGAAACUGUUUAUCCUCCAACCAAAGCAAUUGUCUGGGGUUUGAACAAGCCAGCUGUGUUUUUAUUUAACUUUAUUGUGCGACUCCGUGUGUGUGUGUGCGCGUCUGGUUUUGUUUGCUCCACGGCGGCUUGCGGUGACAAAAGGACACUUUUUUUUUUGAGUUCUGCCAGGACAGAGACGCAUCCCAACAAUCACCUUGAGACGGCGCCGGUGGACGAGGCCGGAUUAGAUGUGCAGCAGAUAAAAGCCGAGCAUCUAAUUAGCACAAUGAGGAUUUCUGCCGUCCGGCUGAGUCAGCCGCCGUGUCGUCAACCUUUUGUUCCGGGGGAGGGAAAGUGUUUCCUGGGAUACGCGUCGGUGUGUUUAGAGAGGUUUGCGCAGUGUGCACAAGAGAAAUGUCUCUUCCAUUCGGGACAUAGAAGACGACUGCGGGUGAGGACGAAUCAAAGGCAAACAGGCAGAGGAGAAGAAGACUUUCUGUGGAUGUUGUUAGGGAUUUAAGCCAGAAGUGCACCCCUAGUCAGGAAAUUAUAGUACGUGUAAUAAUGUUUAGUGUUAGAAUUAUAGUUUGUGUGUUAUUAGAUAUUAGUUAUUACAUUAACAUGUUAGAUGAAGUGAAUACAAUGUGAAUCAAACACAGUUUAUAGUCAUUUAAAUCAUAAAAACACUGUACACAUUAACAUUCUGUCACAAUGUGAUGUUAAAACCUGGGGACGGAUGCCAAUUGCCGUUCUUUAUGGAUUUCUCCCAAUUUUAUCCCCAAAGAGGGUUUUUUGGGAGUUUUUUCUCCUGUCAGGUAAUAAAUGAACAACUUAUUGCGAGGCAGCCGACUGAGGCAAAUGUCUUGAGAAUUGGACCACAUGAACUGUUUUAGAUCUUAUGACGAAGUGUGAUGAACGGUGAUCAUUAAUGAUGGGUUGUUGUAAUUAAAGUGUACUAGUUAUAAGAUGAAGACUUAAACGAUGUAUGCUUUGUUAAAUUCACUCAUUGAGGCAUAAAGCC